GAGAGAUGGCUGAGUGGUCGAAAGCGGCAGAUUGCUAAUCUGUUGUACAGUAUAUCUGUACCGGGGGUUCGAAUCCCCCUCUCUCC
rnacentral:tRNA from 1 species